UUGUAGAUUGGAGAGUAAUUU
ensembl:piRNA 21ur-6274 ncRNA